UACGUAGGGUGCGAGCGUUAAUCGGAAUUACUGGGCGUAAAGCGUGCGCAGGCGGUUUUGUAAGCCAGAUGGGAAAGCCCCGGGCUCAACCUGGGAAUGGCAUUUGGGACUGCAAGGCUGGAGUUUGGCAGAGGAGACUGGAAUUCCUGGUGUAGCAGUGAAAUGCGUAGAUAUCAGGAGGAAUACCGAUGGCGAAGGCAGGUCUCUGGGCUAUAACUGACGCUCAUGCACGAAAGCGUGGGGAGCAAACAGG
rnacentral:rRNA from 1 species